rnacentral:rRNA from 1 species
UACGGAGGAUGCGAGCGUUAUCCGGAUUUAUUGGGUUUAAAGGGUGCGUAGGCGGGCAUUUAAGCCGGCGGUCAAAUGUCGGGGCUCAACCCCGGCCUGCCGUUGAAACUGGCAGUCUCGAGUUGGAGAGAAGUAUGCGGAAUGCGCGGUGUAGCGGUGAAAUGCAUAGAUAUCGCGCAGAACUCCGAUUGCGAAGGCAGCAUGCCGGCUCCACACUGACGCUGAGGCACGAAAGCGUGGGGAGCAAAUAGG